rnacentral:rRNA from 1 species
UACGUAGGGUGCGAGCGUUAAUCGGAAUUACUGGGCGUAAAGCGCGCGCAGGCGGUUCGUUGUGUCGGCGGUGAAAGCCCCGGGCUCAACCUGGGAAUGGCCGUUGAAACUGGCGAACUGGAGUGUGGCAGAGGGGGGUGGAAUUCCGCGUGUAGCAGUGAAAUGCGUAGAGAUGCGGAGGAACACCGAUGGCGAAGGCAGCCCCCUGGGCUGACACUGACGCUCAGGCACGAAAGCGUGGGGAGCAAACAGG